GCCUCGCCGGGCUCACGUAGUCACGGUGGGUGUAGGACGUGAUGCAGGAGGCGCACUCGAAGAUGUAGACGAUGAGCAUGAGCACCAGUGUCCCCAUCCCCCCACCCCUGGGGUCUCACCGUGAGGACCAUGGACCGGCGGCGGCAGAAUGCGGCGCCCACACCAAAACUGGCUACCAUGAAGAAGGAGAAGCCGCAGAAGAUGGCAAUCCAGGCACCAGCGAAGAUGUCAUCCUUGCCUGAGACUCCCAUCAGUGGGUAUACACGGUACUGGUCGGCUGUCACCCAUAUGGUCUCAGCAAACAGGGCCAGGCCUGACAGCUGGACAGAGCGGUGGGUUAGGAAGGUCUGCUCGGGGCCAGCAGCCCUGACACUAGGCAUCUCCACGAGCAAGUUCCUUCCCCAUUUGGAGCCUCCACUGCCCUCUCAGUAAAGUGGGCAAAGACCUCGCCUUCCAUGAGCAGCGAUGAGGGUGAGCAGAGGCCAGGAGAGAAGAGACAGCCCAGCCAGACAACCGACCCCCACGCCCCAGCUGCCAGUUUCUUCGGGGAUAAAAGGGGAUGCCACGUGGAAAGGCUGGAGCAGUGGACUGGCACAGAGGAGAUGCUUGGUCCAUCUGCCCUCCCUUGACGGUGCUGUUAUUCCCCGAGGAGGGGAACAUGGCCAUGGCCAUAAACAUUACAAAUGGGCCAGGCAAGGUGGCUCACACCUGCAGUCCCAGCAUUGUGGGAGGCCGAGGCGGGAGGAUUGCUUGAGCCCAGGAGUUUGAGACUAGCCUGGGCAAUAGUGAGACCCCAUCUCUACAAAAAAUAAAAAAAUUAGCUAGA